rnacentral:rRNA from 1 species
AACGAACGCUGGCGGCGUGGAUAAGACAUGCAAGUCGAACGGGAGUUUGUUUAUAGCAAUAUGAGUGAACUCUAGUGGCGAAAGGGUGCGUAACACGUAGCUACCUACCUCGAAGUUGGGAUAGCUCGGCGAAAGCCGGAUUAAUACCGAAUGUGAUCGUGAGAUCAAAGCUGGGGAUCGUAAGACCUGGCGCUUUGAGAUGGGGCU